GAUCCUUGUAAUGAGGUCAUUACAGAUUUAGAGUAGAGAUUCAGCUAAGCAAGACUCGGUAUUGCAAGUUCUGACCAUUCAAAUAUGGAGCUUGAUGAAUGUUUUGUCAAAUGUUGUUUCAAUAGCAGCAUAUAAAUUUGAUGAAGACCUCUCAAGACUAAAUGGUUGGGCUGUGUUUUUCUCGGAAGCUUACAAAGAAUAGAAUAUAUGUUUUGGAUUCACAAUUGCCAUUAUUUCUCCAAUGUCACUAGAGGUUUUUGGGCUGGCUAUUUACCAUAAUUAACGGUUCUAAGAAUGGAGAGUUAAUUAUUUAAGAGUUCUGUGGCCAAUAUUGGCAUGUGUGAAUCCAAAACAUAUAUUCUAUUCUU
rnacentral:misc_RNA from 1 species